AAGCCGUUGGAGCCUGGAAGAUCUUCGGAUCAGGGUGACAGCGUGCCUUUUGAAGAAUGAGCCUGCGAGUUAGUGAUAUGUGGCGAGGUUAACCCGUGAGGGGCAGCCGUAGCGAAAGCGAGUUCGAAUAGAGCGAAUGAGUCGCAUGUUCUAGACCCGAAGCGGAGUGAUCUACCCAUGGCCAGGUUGAAGCGAAGGUAAGACUUCGUGAAGGACCGAACCCACCAAUGUUGAAAAAUUGGGGGAUGAGCUGUGGGUAGGGGUGAAAGGCCAAUCAAACUCCGUGAUAGCUGGUUCUCCCCGAAAUGCAUUUAGGUGCAGCGUCACGUGUUUCUUGUCGGAGGUAGAGCACUGGAUGGGCUAGGGGGCCUACAAGCUUACUGAACUCAACCAAACUCCGAAUGCCGAUAAGUAAGAGCGUGGCAGUGAGACUGUGGGGGAUAAGCUUCAUAGUCGAGAGGGAAACAGCCCAGACCACCAACUAAGGCCCCUAAGCGUGUGCUAAGUGGGAAAGGAUGUGGAGUUGCAUAGACAACCAGGAGGUUGGCUUAGAAGCAGCCACCCUUAAAAGAGUGCGUAAUAGCCCACUGGUCAAGUGAUUCCGCGCCGACAAUGUAACGGGGCUCAAGCACAUCGCCGAAGUUGUGGCAUUCACACCGAUAACCCGGCCGUAAGGUCCAGGUGUGUGGAUGGGUAGGGGAGCGUCGUGUGGCGAGCGAAGCGGCGGGGUGACCCAGCCGUGGACGCCACACGAGUGAGAAUGCAGGCAUGAGUAGCGAAAGACGGGUGAGAAACCCGUCCGCCGGAUGACCAAGGGUUCCAGGGCCAGGCUAAUCCGCCCUGGGUAAGUCGGGACCUAAGACGAGGCCGACAGGCGUAGUCGAUGGACAACGGGUUGAUAUUCCCGUACCGGUUUACACACGACCAUGACGAGCCCAGUGAUGCUAAGCCCACAAAGUCGAGGAACUCUUCGGAGGGAAUCGGUGGAGUGCGCGAACCGAACUGGUAGUAGUCAAGCAAUGGGGUGACGCAGGAAGGUAGCUCAACCGCGGCGAUGGUAGACCGCGGCCAAGGUUGUAGGGCGAGAUGUAGGUAAAUCCGCAUCUCAUACGCCUGAGAACUGAUGGGGAGCCGACUUAGGCGAAGUGAGUGAUCCUAUGCUGCCGAGAAAAGCCUCUAGCGAGUGUGCAAGCCGCCCGUACCCCAAACCGACACAGGUGGUCAGGUAGAGAAUACCAAGGCGAUCGAGUGAACUGUGGUUAAGGAACUCGGCAAAUUGCCCCCGUAACUUCGGGAGAAGGGGGGCCGCGGCUGGUGAUGGGACUUGCUCCCUGAGCUGGCUACGGCCGCAGAGACCAGGUGGAAGCGACUGUUUACUAAAAACACAGGUCCAUGCAAAGUCGCAAGACGACGUAUAUGGACUGACGCCUGCCCGGUGCUGGAACGUUAAGGGGACCAGUCAGUUCUUCGGAGCGAAGCUGAGAACUUAAGCGCCAGUAAACGGCGGUGGUAACUAUAACCAUCCUAAGGUAGCGAAAUUCCUUGUCGGGUAAGUUCCGACCUGCACGAAUGGCGUAACGACUUCCACGCUGUCUCAACCGCAGACUCGGCGAAAUUGCACUACGAGUAAAGAUGCUCGUUACGCGUGGCAGGACGGAAAGACCCCGGGACCUUUACUACAGCUUGGUAUUGGUGGUCGGUUCGAUUUGUGUAGCAUAGGUGGGAGACUUGGAAGCCCGGACGCCAGUUCGGGUGGAGUCAUCGUUGAAAUACCACUCUGAUCGUAUUGGCUGUCUAACCUCGAUCCGUGAUCCGGAUUAGGGACAGUGCCUGGUGGGUAGUUUAACUGGGGCGGUUGCCUCCCAAAGAGUAACGGAGGCGCUCAAAGGUUCCCUCAGCCUGGUUGGCAAUCAGGUAUCGAGUGUAAGUGCACAAGGGAGCUUGACUGUGAGACUGACAGGUCGAGCAGGGACGAAAGUCGGAACUAGUGAUCCGGCGCCGGCAUGUGGAAGCGGCGUCGCUCAACGGAUAAAAGGUACCCCGGGGAUAACAGGCUGAUCUUGCCCAAGAGUCCAUAUCGACGGCAUGGUUUGGCACCUCGAUGUCGGCUCGUCGCAUCCUGGGGCUGGAGUCGGUCCCAAGGGUUGGGCUGUUCGCCCAUUAAAGCGGCACGCGAGCUG
rnacentral:rRNA from 1 species